CAGUCGCCACGGUAAUACAGAGGGUGCGAGCGUUAAUCGGAUUUACUGGGCGUAAAGCGUGCGUAGGCGGCUUUUUAAGUCGGAUGUGAAAGCCCUGGGCUCAACCUGGGAAUUGCAGUGGAUACUGGGUCACUAGAGUGUGGUAGAGGAUAGUGGAAUUUCCGGUGUAGCAGUGAAAUGCGUAGAGAUCGGAAGGAACAUCUGUGGCGAAGGCGACUAUCUGGGCCAACACUGACACUGAGGCACGAAAGCGUAGGGAGCAAACAGGAUUAGAUACCCCUGUAGUCCCUGUCUCUUAUAA
rnacentral:rRNA from 1 species